CAUAUUUUAUUAACAGUGAGUCACAUUCACAAAUCACAGCAAUCACAGAAUGUAAUGACCUGCAAUAAGAGCAGCGGUGGAGCCAGUCCAAGUCUGCUUGAGUUUUGUCACCAGUUGAGGGUCUCAAGGUGUUAAAAAUAAAAGUGAUGUUAAAGGAGGAGCACACAAGCUGAGAGGAGAAGAAAAAGAAGAAAGAGGAGAAUUUAGGGGUGAAUGGACGGGGGGCUCCGUCACAGACAGGG